rnacentral:lncRNA from 1 species
GUUUCCUCUUUUGUUCUUAUCAAGGCCAUGAAGUGAAGAGUUUCUGCUACAGCACAUACUCCAGGCACAGCAUGCAAGACCACGUCCCCACAGACAGCCCCAAAGCAACAGGGAAACAAGAACAAAAGACAGCCAAAGGGAGGCAGAAAGACUGGAGAAAGAGUACAAGGUAUGUUCUCUGAUAGUUGUUGCUUGGGGCCAAGUGCAAGUGAUCUCCACAUUCCAUAGAAAUGGCUCCUGAUUGACCACAAGAGCUGCUGUGCCUCAGGACACUACAAAAGAGAAGAAAUUGCAGCUUUCUACAUCCCUCAGGGUAUUAACUCCAAAACUGUGAGUUGUCCAUAUGUGGGCACCAAGCAUAUCCUGUGGCACCUGCUACUUGGCACAGCUUUCCUUUCAGGAACCCAGUGGGCACUGGUGGCUACGGGCUUCGUUGAAGGAAGUAUGUCACUGUGGGCAUGGGUAAUGAGACCCUGCUUCUAACCAUAUGAGAGCCAGUCUUUUCCUAGCUGAUUUUGGAACAAGACGUAGAACUCUCGGCUCCUCCAGUGCCAUGCCUGCCUAGAUGUUGCCAUGCUUCCUGCCAUAAUGAUAAUGGACUGAACUUCUGAAUCUGACCAUGCCUGAGGUGAGCUAGAAGGAAUAUAUGAAGGAAACAGGCUUUCUGCAGGAAAAGAUGCCCAGACUCCAUCUUCUACACCUGCCUCCAGCAAAGGUUCCAGUGAAAGGCAAGCUCAAAUACCCUUCUAUUUUGACCUGCAUAUCUCAACUUUCAAGACAUGGCUUCUUCCCCCAGAGAAGACGUCUCUCUGUGGUAUACACUAUCUGUUAGGAUGAGCAGAGAACCUGUUAGUGACAGAGUUGGUAAAUAGUUGCUCCCAGCCUCGGGGCCCCCUCUGGCUGCAGUUGGCAUUUAUAAAGUGGAUGUGGAUGGAACGCCCCUUAGGUCUCACUCAGGACUGGGCCCUGAGCCCCAUCUCUCAGCUCCUCUUUAGAAAUUACUGAACGAACCUUAUCAUUUGCUGGACAUUAUGUUCAGCACCUUGUAAUUGUCAACUCGUUUAGUUCUCAUAGCAACCCCGCUGACGUAGGUACCAUUAUCACCUGCAUUCCACAAGGUCAACAUUGUCCCUGAGCCCACAGCUCAUGGUACAGAGACAGAAGCCCUGCCAUGUAGUCUGGUCAAAUCUUACCUACAAGGCAUUGUUUUAGACUCUGCAACUAAGACUACCCAGCAGUUCACAUAUCCUUGGGGCUUUCCCCAUGACAAGGCUAGAUGAGGGGCUGAGUACUAGUAAGCAUCCUGUGAUUUUUGUCCCUCCCAUGAGGUGCCCCAGUCCACGGUACCUACUUUGCACUUAGUGAAUGUGUUUUCACUACAUUUCCUCACCUCCACCAGCUGGGCCGCUAUGUUCUCUGUGGUAUAAGUUGUAGAAUAAACAGUUUUGCUUUUU